UACGUAGGGCGCAAGCGUUGUCCGGAAUUAUUGGGCGUAAAGAGCUCGUAGGUGGCCUGUCGCGUCGGCUGUGAAAACUCGGGGCUCAACUCCGAGCUUGCAGUCGAUACGGGCAGGCUAGAGUUCGGCAGGGGAGACUGGAAUUCCUGGUGUAGCGGUGAAAUGCGCAGAUAUCAGGAGGAACACCGGUGGCGAAGGCGGGUCUCUGGGCCGAUACUGACACUGAGGAGCGAAAGCGUGGGGAGCGAACAGG
rnacentral:rRNA from 1 species